rnacentral:rRNA from 1 species
UGGGGAAUAUUGGACAAUGGACCGAGAGUCUGAUCCAGCAAUUCUGUGUGCACGAUGACGUUUUUCGGAAUGUAAAGUGCUUUCAGUUGGGAAGAAAGAAAUGACGGUACCAACAGAAGAAGUGACGGCUAAAUACGUGCCAGCAGCCGCGGUAAUACGUAUGUCACGAGCGUUAUCCGGAUUUAUUGGGCGUAAAGCGCGUCUAGGUGGUUAUGUAAGUCUGAUGUGAAAAUGCAGGGCUCAACUCUGUAUUGCGUUGGAAACUGUAUAACUAGAGUACUGGAGAGGUAAGCGGAACUACAAGUGUAGAGGUGAAAUUCGUAGAUAUUUGUAAGAAUGCCGAUGAGGAAGCCAGCUUACUGGACAGAUACUGACGCUAAAGCGCGAAAGCGUGGGUAGCAAACAGG